CAGCUCUUUCCUAAAGGGGUGUGUGAGAAAGGGCUUGAGGGUACCCCACAGGGAGGAAUUCCCAAAGGGGUUUUUGCACUUGGUGGUGGUGGCAGCAUCUAUCCAUCCAAGGUCAGAGAGAGAAGCAGUAACCUUGGAAGUUUACUACAAGGCUGGAGUGGCCAGUAUUAAUUUUUAGAAUCCUUGCAGGCCCCCACCUUCUGCACUGGAAGUGCCAGAGUGGGGAAUCAGCCUUGACAGUUGCCCUUUUCCAAUAGAUCUUUUUUGAUUGGGAACCACAUGUGCAUAUGGUAUUCAAGGUGUGGGCAUGCCAUGGAUUUAUAUAGAGGCAAUAAGAUAUUUUCUGUUGUAUUCUCUAUCCCUUCUAGUGAUAGCCAGCAUUCUGUUUGCUUUUUUGACUGCUGCUGCGCAUUGAGUGGAUGUUUCCAGAAAAACAUCCACAAUGACUCCAAGAUCUUCCUUGAGCAGGAACAUCUAAUUCAGACCCCAUCAUUUCGUAGAUCCUGUUUUGAGAGCAGCCACCUGGCCCACCACCACAUCCAGGUGUCGAUCAAUGUCUGGUCAGAGUACACCAUCCUCUAUGGCUUCUCCUGGAAUGGCAGAAAGAGUCACCCAUACCAAGAAAUUUCACUGAGCUGGAGGAGCAGAUUUCAGCCCAGGACCAGAAGGAAUCAAGCACUGGAGGCUCUCAUACAAGAGGGCAAAACACUUCAACAGUUGCUCCAGGUGGGCUCACUGUAUGUGCCCCUUCAAGGAGCAUGACGGGUGCUGUCAACCGCUUUCAAUGCACAGCCAGAAAUGAGUCAUGACCCCCUCCUCCACCCUGUCAGACCAGGAGGCGGAUGGAAUGCUGAGGAGGAUGCCUUGGAAGGCAAGUAGCAUGUGUUUUUUGGUACCCAGUGGAGCCAGCUGAGGAAGACCACCCCACCCUCACCCCAAUGAACCUAGGGAGGACCCCCAAGUCAUGGCAGGAACCAGAGCCUAUGACUGAGAACAAAAGAAAACAGCCGUGGGACCUCGGGAGCAGAUCCUGUCCUGGAACUUGGUUGGCAAAGCUACUGAAAACCUGUGUUCAAUGAACUUGCUUUGUUCUUUCAUCACAAUUCAUCCAGUAUUGUGAAUCGGGCGGGGAACUCUAUUUAAGGUAUUGUAGCUCGAUGCCCUCGCAGAGGCAAUGGACCGAAUAUAUCUGGACAGUGCGGAACAGACAUUUCUGUGGGGAAAUCCAGGACCGGGAGUGCAUCAGGGUCACCGCGCACAUAGUAAUCGAUGCUGCCGGAAGCCAGAGCGUGGCUGGUGGUCGCUAAUGGGCCGCCGGGGUCAGAAUUGCCGGAUCGGGGCUGUGGCGAUACGCAGACGCUCAGGGUGUGACCUGUAAGCCAUGUGGCUGUUUGUGAGCGGCCCAGCUCGGGAGCCACAGCAGCAAGGCACCCCACGUUGCAGAGGAGGUCGUGACACGGCCGCUCACCGAUCCGGAUCGCACCCCAAAAUGUCUCAGACACCAGUUUCCGGAAAGCCGUCUCACGUGCCGUUGUAUUUCACGCUAGCAGCAUUUGUAAGAUGAUUUUACAAGUUAUAAAACUCUUCACAUGUCACUAAAAUCCAGCCCAUCGGUUUGUCCCAGUUCUUCAGCUUGUUGUAAACCUUUCAUUCUCCUUGUUUUGGAUACUAGCAUUCUAGGUACUGGCACCAGAAGGAACUUCUGUAACUUGUCCUGGGGCAAAAUACAAACAUAUUUGGAUUUUUUGACAAGUGACCUAUCUGCUUAUGUCACAAACCAGGCAGUACUAUCGCGGCAUGUUGCAGAAUAUGAGAACGUAGCUUACCUCGGUGCUCAGACCAUCCUGCUUUCUGCUUACAAUGCAGAGCCAUCCCAGGGCGGCCGCCGCAAUCCACCUCCUGAGACCAGGGGCUUAUUUGUCUGAUGGGUUAAUAAAGGGCUCGGUGACUAGUCACCAAUCGCCGGGUUGACUCAUUGCUGCCGCUUUGUUGCCUGUGACACAAGAGUAUUGUAAUGGUAACUGGCAAGGGGGUGCGGAGGCGGGGUUACAAAAAUCUCCUGAGUCUGCUAUGAACAUUCUGGUUCUUCCAAAGAAUUUCAGGUGAAAGCGGUGGACAUGCUACUCAUGAAUAUUGUUGUGAAAUGGUGCACAGAUACUAUAUAAGGAGUUAGGUAUAUAUCCUGAAAAUCUGUGUUUAAACUCUGCAAAGUGUAUCUCUCUGUUGGGAUGCAACUGUAGCAUUGUAAAAUAGCAGAAUGCAUGCCUGUUUACAUACAAAGAGAUGCGAAGUCAACAGAAAAGGAGCAUGCAGGCGAAAACAAGCCCUGGGGGAUUAUCCUGCCUCAGAGUAAAGAGACACCGCCUUCACCCUGCACCUGGGAAGCGAACGGACAGCGUGGGUCGCAGUUAGCCUCGGUUGAAAAAGCUGCAGAGGAUUUUGGGUGAGAGAAACGUCUUCAGCCACGAGGUUAACCUGCGAGUUUAAUUAAGUGUCUAGAAAGUGGUUGUUUAGGUCAUGACUUGUUUCCAAACAACUGGUUUCAGAGUAACAGCCGUGUUAGUCUGUAUUCGCA